rnacentral:rRNA from 1 species
GCCCAGACUCCUACGGGAGGCAGCAGUGGAGAAUAUUGCACAAUGGGGGAAACCCUGAUGCAGCGACGCCGCGUGAGCGAUGAAGUAUUUCGGUAUGUAAAGCUCUAUCAGCAGGGAAGAAGAUGACGGUACCUGACUAAGAAGCCCCGGCUAACUACGUGCCAGCAGCCGCGGUAAUACGUAGGGGGCAAGCGUUAUCCGGAUUUACUGGGUGUAAAGGGAGCGUAGACGGCGGCGCAAGCCGGAUGUGAAAGCCCGGGGCUCAACCCCUGAACUGCAUUUGAAACUGUCGUUCUUGAGUACUGGAGAGGUUGACGGAAUUCCUAGUGUAGCGGUGAAAUGCGUAGAUAUUAGGAGGAACACCAGUGGCGAAGGCGGUCAACUGGACAGCAACUGACGCUGAGGCGCGAAAGCGUGGGGAGCAAACAGGAUUAGAUACCCGUGUA